rnacentral:rRNA from 1 species
AGCUCCAAUAGCGUAUAUUAAAGUUGCUGCUGUUAAAAAGCUCGUAGUUGGAUUUCUGAUAUAAUUUAUCUGUCCCGUCGUGGUUACACGUAUGAGUGACGGAAUAAAUUUAUCUGUUUUGUAUGUGUGUUUUGUAGUGUGAAAGCAUUAUGAAAUAACUGUACAUCUUUUACUUUGAACAAAUUAGAGUGUUUCAAGCAGGCAUUUAUGCCUUGAAUACAUGAGCAUGGAAUAAUCAUCGAGGACUUUUUAGUUCUAUGUUGAUUGGUUCUAGAACUAUAGUAAUGAUGGAUAGGGAUAGUUGGGGGUGCUAGUAUUCCGAGGCCAGAGGUGAAAUUCUUGGAUUCUCGGAAGACUCACUUAGGCGAAAGCAUUCACCAAGGAUGUCUUCA